rnacentral:rRNA from 1 species
UACGUAGGGUGCAAGCGUUAAUCGGAAUUACUGGGCGUAAAGCGUGCGCAGGCGGUGAUGUAAGACAGUUGUGAAAUCCCCGGGCUCAACCUGGGAACUGCAUCUGUGACUGCAUUGCUGGAGUGCGGCAGAGGGGGAUGGAAUUCCGCGUGUAGCAGUGAAAUGCGUAGAUAUGCGGAGGAACACCGAUGGCGAAGGCAGUCCCCUGGGCCUGCACUGACGCUCAUGCACGAAAGCGUGGGGAGCAAACAGG